GGUGAGAUGGUGUAGUGGUUUGAGUGUUGGACUAUGACUCUGGAGAACUGGGUUCGAAACACUGCUUAGCCA